rnacentral:rRNA from 1 species
CCCUUAGAUGUCCUGGGCUGCACGCGCGCUACACUGAUGUGUCCAGUAAGCACCUAACCUCUUCCGAAAGGAACGGGUAACCUUUGCAAAGCACAUCGUGAUGGGGAUAGAUUAUUGCAAUUAUUAAUCUUCAACGAGGAAUUCCUAGUAAGCGCGAGUCAUCAGCUCGUGCUGAUUACGUCCCUGCCCUUUGUACACACCGCCCGUCGCUGCAACUGAUUGGGUGACCUGGUGAACAUCUUGGACCGGCCCACUCAAUUUCGAGAGGACUGGAAAAGGCCGUAAAUCAGGUACAUCUAGAAAUUGCAAAAGUCGUAACA